rnacentral:rRNA from 1 species
CCUACGGGAGGCAGCAGUGGGGAAUCUUGCACAAUGGAGGAAACUCUGAUGCAGCGAUGCCGCGUGAGUGAAGAAGGCCCUUGGGUUGUAAAGCUCUUUCGUCGGGGAAGAAAAUGACUGUACCCGAAUAAGAAGGUCCGGCUAACUUCGUGCCAGCAGCCGCGGUAAUACGAAGGGACCUAGCGUAGUUCGGAAUUACUGGGCUUAAAGAGUUCGUAGGUGGUUGAAAAAGUUAGUGGUGAAAUCCCAGAGCUUAACUCUGGAACUGCCAUUAAAACUUUUCAGCUAGAGUAUGAUAGAGGAAAGCAGAAUUUCUAGUGUAGAGGUGAAAUUCGUAGAUAUUAGAAAGAAUACCAAUUGCGAAGGCAGCUUUCUGGAUCAUUACUGACACUGAGGAACGAAAGCAUGGGUAGCGAAGAGGAUUAGAUACCCUCGUAGUCCAUGCCGUAAACGAUGUGUGUUAGACGUUGGAAAUUUAUUUUCAGUGUCGCAGCGAAAGCGAUAAACACACCGCCUGGGGAGUACGACCGCAAGGUUAAAACUCAAAUGAAUUGACGGA